GCGUAAAGAGCUCGUAGGCGGUUUGUCGCGUCGGCUGUGAAAACCUGAGGCUCAACCUCAGGCCUGCAGUCGAUACUGGCAGACUUGAGUGUUGCAGGGGAGACUGGAAUUCCUGGUGUAGCGGUGAAAUGCGCAGAUAUCAGGAGGAACACCGGUGGCGAAGGCGGGUCUCUGGGCAACAACUGACGCUGAGGAGCGAAAGCGUGGGGAGCGAACAGGAUUAGAUACCCUGGUAGUCCACGCCGUAAACGUUGGGCGCUAGGUGUGGGGCUCAUUCCACGAGUUCCGUGCCGCAGCUAACGCAUUAAGCGCCCCGCCUGGGGAGUACGGCCGCAAGGCUAAAACUCAAAGGAAUUGACGGGGGCCCGCACAAGCGGCGGAGCAUGUUGCUUAAUUCGAUGCAACGCGAAGAACCUUACCUAGGCUUGACAUGCACGGAAAUCUCGCAGAGAUGCGGGGUCCGUAAGGGCCGUGCACAGGUGGUGCAUGGUUGUCGUCAGCUCGUGUCGUGAGAUGUUGGGUUAAGUCCCGCAACGAGCGCAACCCUCGUCCUAUGUUGCCAGCACGUCAUGGUGGGGACUCAUAGGAGACUGCCGGGGUCAACUCGGAGGAAGGUGGGGAUGACGUCAAAUCAUCAUGCCCCUUAUGUCUAGGGCUGCAAACAUGCUACAAUGGCCGGUACAAAGGGCUGCGAUACCGCGAGGUGGAGCGAAUCCCAAAAAGCCGGUCUCAGUUCGGAUUGGGGUCUGCAACUCGACCCCAUGAAGU
rnacentral:rRNA from 1 species